CAACUUUUAGCAACGGAUCUCUUGGCUCUCCCAUCGAUGAAGAACGCAGCGAAAUGCGAUAAGUAAUGUGAAUUGCAGAAUUCAGUGAAUCAUCGAAUCUUUGAACGCACCAGUGAAUCAUCGAUCUUUGAACGCACCUUGCGCCCUCUGGUAUUCCGGAGGGCAUGCCUGUUUGAGUGUCAUUA
rnacentral:rRNA from 1 species